GACGAACGCUGGCGGCGUGCUUAACACAUGCAAGUCGAACGGAAAGGCCCUGCUUUUGUGGGGUGCUCGAGUGGCGAACGGGUGAGUAACACGUGAGUAACCUGCCCUUGACUUUGGGAUAACUUCAGGAAACUGGGGCUAAUACCGGAUAGGAGCUCCUGCUGCAUGGUGGGGGUUGGAAAGUUUCGGCGGUUGGGGAUGGACUCGCGGCUUAUCAGCUUGUUGGUGGGGUAGUGGCUUACCAAGGCUUUGACGGGUAGCCGGCCUGAGAGGGUGACCGGCCAAAUUGGACCUGGGUUACGGCCCGGAUCCUUCGGGGAGGAGGAGUGGGGAAUAUUGCACAAUGGGCGGAAGCCUGAUGCAGCAACGCCGCGUGCGGGAUGACGGCCUUCGGGUUGUAAACCGCUUUCGCCUGUGACGAAGCGUGAGUGACGGUAAUGGGUAAAGAAGCACCGGCUAACUACGUG
rnacentral:rRNA from 1 species